UCUGGUGAUUUGACGCGGUGGUCACACCUCUUCCCAUUCCGAACAGAGUCGUUAAGCGCCGUAGUACUGAUGAUACUCCUUGUGGGGAAAGUAAGUAGUCGCCGGAA
rnacentral:rRNA from 1 species